CAAGCUUCAUGAGAGUAGGAAUUAUUUGUUUUGUUGAGUACUUUAAAAAGUGCCUAACACAUAGUAAUCCGCAAAGGCUUGUGAAAAGAAUGCAUAAAUUUAAUCCUCAUAACAACUUUGCCAAAUGAUAUUCUUAUCCUUCUUUUCAGAUGUGGAAAUUGAGGCUCAUAAAGGUUAACAUCCCCAAAUAAGGGUCUACGUCCAAAUCCUAUGCUCUUAAGUCCUAUAUAGUCUCCCAAAUGAAGAGGGGCUUCUCGUGAAAAUGGCCUGGAAGUGGCAUAGGGAACUAAAGAUGAUAAAAACCUAUCUCCUGGCUUUGGCUUAUGAGUUUCCAUGGAAGGAAUACUUUUUCCAGGAAAC
rnacentral:lncRNA from 1 species